rnacentral:rRNA from 1 species
GUUAAAAAGCUCGUAGUUGGAUGUUGGUUAAGAGGGCGCGGUCGGCCGUUUGGUCUGUACUGCGUUGUCUUGACUUCCUGAUGAGGACAUGCUCUUGGUUAACGCUGAGACAUGGAGUCAUCGUGGUUACUUUGAAAAAAUUAGAGUGUUCAAAGCGGGCUUACGCUUGAAUAUAUUAGCAUGGAAUAACACUAUAGGACUCCUGUCCUAUCUCGUUGGUCUCGGGAUGGGAGUAAUGAUUAAGAGGAACAGUUGGGGGCAUUCGUAUUUCAUUGUCAGAGGUGAAAUUCUUGGAUUUAUGAAAGACGAACUUCUGCGAAAGCAUUUGCCAAGGAUGUUUUCAUUAAUCAAGAACGAAAGUUGGGGGCUCGAAGAUGAUUAGAUACCAUCCUAGUCUCAACCAUAAACGAUGCCGACUAGGGAUUGGUGGAUGUUAAUUGAUGACUUCACCAGCACCUUAUGAGAAAUCAAAGUUUUUGGGUUCCGGGGGGAGUAUGGUCGCAAGGCUGAAACUUAAAGGAAUUGACGGAAGGGCACCACCAGGCGUGGAGCCUGCGGCUUAAUUUGACUCAACACGGGGAAACUUACCAGGUCCAGACAUAAGUAUGAUUGACAGAUUGAGAGCUCU